AGUAUAUUUUGGGAGUAGUAAUGAGCACCGAUAUGGGGAUGCGAGUUCAUAUUAACUCAAGCCUCCAUAAACCAUGUAGCCAUCAUGGGUAGUAAAGGAUCAUACUUUUUAGAUGACUCCUUAAGAUGCUUUUAGCAUAGACUAGUGGAUCCACUAAGUUAAGUAAGGUCCUAUAUCACGGCAAGGUAUAGGAUGGUCCUUGGGAAACGUGAGGUAAAACAUUGUAUCAUCACUUAGGC
rnacentral:lncRNA from 1 species